rnacentral:rRNA from 1 species
GACGAACGCUGGCGGCGUGCCUAAUACAUGCAAGUAGAACGCUGAAGGAGGAGCUUGCUUCUCUGGAUGAGUUGCGAACGGGUGAGUAACGCGUAGGUAACCUGCCUGGUAGCGGGGGAUAACUAUUGGAAACGAUAGCUAAUACCGCAUAAUAGUAGAUGUUGCAUGACAUUUGCUUAAAAGGUGCAAUUGCAUCACUACCAGAUGGACCUGCGUUGUAUUAGCUAGUUGGUGAGGUAACGGCUCACCAAGGCGACGAUACAUAGCCGACCUGAGAGGGUGCUCGGCCACACUGGGACUGAGACACGGCCCAGACUCCUACGGGAGGCAGCAGUAGGGAAUCUUCGGCAAUGGACGGAAGUCUGACCGAGCAACGCCGCGUGAGUGAAGAAGGUUGUCGGAUCGUAAAGCUCUGUUGUAAGAGAAGAACGAGUGUGAGAGUGGAAAGUUCACACUGUGACGGUAUCUUACCAGAAAGGGACGGCUAACUACGUG